GAACCGCGGUUUUUUAAUUUUUCACAAUAUUGACUGAAUUUUGACCGAAAUUAACAACUAAACCUAGUCUUCUCUCAAGUCUUCAGUCUUCAAUCUUCACAAUUUUCUCAUCCGCCGCAUUUGCUCCAUAGCGCCGGGUGAUGGGUCAUAAUUUUUGUCGGGUGAUGGGCUCCUUCCAAAUCCCCCAACUUCACAGCCGAUUCGAAGGUGUUGCUGGAGAUUUUUGUCGGUGGGCAGCUUCAUUUGCAGUAGGGGCCGCGACGGCGGCAGUUUCAUUGUGGAGAGGCGGGGCGGAAGGGAGGGAAGUCUUCACUCCAUCCUUCACAAAAGAUCUGGCUCAGAUGGACUUACUAAAAAGUCAGACUCAUCGAGCUUUUUUGGGCCAAAUGAGCCUAGCUCGAGCUGGCUUGCCCCAUUGACAGUUCUACACAUAGAUCACAAAUUUCUUCUCUUCGCAAGACACUUUUCAAAACUCCCUUGAGUUUCUUGUUUAGCCCCUCUACGCAGGUUGAUUUAACAUACAACACAACGCGCACGGAAGAGACGGAGCUACAGUCGCUCACGCAGGAAUCCUCCACCAUCGUUGUAGCAUCUCGAAAGCACUGUAAAAUGAUUAAGUUUAAUUAGACGUGAAAUGAGUGAGGAUGAUGAGCUUGAGGAGUCACGAGAAUGGCUAAAAGAAAUGGUGCAAGGAAAGGAAGAAGCUUAGAAGAAGGAAACAAAAAAGAAAAAAUAACUGGAGAGAAACUAUGGGAGAAUCUGUCCGCGGUUUCUCCUGUGGUUUGUGGCUAGAACUUCAUUUCGCAAGGCUCUGCACAAUCCCUUGGAGAAUCCCUCUAGGAAUCCGAUCCAGGGAUUCAUGGUAGUUGUAACUUGCAAACUUGCAUGGUUUCUCUUUCUCUUUUUCUUUUUGAUAAGACACAAAAGGACAAUUAUGUACCAACUUUUGGAAGAUUUAGAAGUUUCUUUUAUUGACUUUUUACUAGAAGGUAACAUUAUUGAACGAAGAGAAGGAGUUCUUGACAAGAAAAAGAAUUUUUUCUUCUCUUUUCUCUCUAGCUUAGUUUAGAGAGAGUUUUAGAUCUAGUUUUCAUUUACUCUUGAGGAACUUGAAAAACUCUUGAUGUAACCGUGUAUUUUUUAUGGCGAUGAAGAUGAUGAAAUUAGAAGAUCUUGUUUCUUCA